AAACCAGGUAGAGAAGAAACAAUGGAACAAUUACAUGAGUUCUGGACACAGUACAGCAAAAUGCCAGGGCAUAGCUUAACAAAUCAGCCAUUUCCAAAGAAAAAGAUCCCAAAACAUGAAAGGCUCUGAGAAAAUGUUUGAUCCCAGGCAGUAAACUCGGCAACCUUGUCUCUGACCAGCGCUUUGGAAAAGGGACUCAAAGCUUAUCUGGCAGGUUGGUCUGUCCACAUCAAGGACACAUCCUGUCACUCUGGUGAAGAUUCCCUGUGUUCCUUGCUGCACCAAUCAGUGGUUGAAUCAGCAGAGGGGAUGCCACAUCCUAGUCAGAGCACAGGAGCACAUGCAGCCAUUUGAGCACAAACACCUGGCCUUUUCUUCUCACCAGUCUGU
rnacentral:lncRNA from 1 species